rnacentral:lncRNA from 1 species
GCUCACAAGACCAGAGGCAUCAGGGAACUGUGACCAGUCAAGAUAACACAACUCUGAUGUUGAUGCUGCGAACUUUCUGGGUUUUCUGAGAAAGAGCCUAGUUUCAGAUUUAGAGUCGAGGAGUAUGUGGAGCUGAGGAUUUGGAAGAAGAAAGAUCUGGAAGAAGAACAAGAACAGGAAGAAGGAGGAGGAGGUGGAGGUCAAAACCACUGCGCUAGCCCACAGUGGAAGAUCAACAUGAAAGAGCGCUGCAGGCGCAAGAGGUCUCAAGGCUGGGACUACGCAAGUCAUCAUUCUCAAGAAACAGACAGAGGAGGAUAAGCAGACCUGGAGGACCAUUCCCGAGUUUGUUUGGGGUACACUGAGUGUGCUGACAAGGCAUCCAUAUGGAGCUUCCGGCUCACCUGACUACCUGGCAGUGGUCAGCAU